GGAGGGUAGGGGAUUUUCACGAGGUAGAGGAUUUUGAUGAUUAGCUCGGAAGUGACACUUUACGGUGUUCUACUUGAAAAUUCUAUUUUGGUUCCUGGUUGGAAGUUUUAUAAUCCAGGUUCUGUGACUGUUAGGGUAAGUGACGAGGCUCUGUAAUCCACAGUAAUUUUACUACAUUUAAUGCAGUAAGGCAAUGUUCUUAGUUUAUGUAGCAUUAUUAACAGGAUUUUGGCAGAUUAAUAUAAAUAGUGGUGUACUUAAAACAAAUAUCUGUAAACCUCUAAGUAAUAAGCCAAGGGUAUGUUGUAAUGAAUUUAGACUGCAUGAUGUUAGGUUUCAGGGGAACUUGGUUGAAACGGGUGUGAACCGGAUUUAUAAAGAGCAAGUUCAGGAACUUUCAGAACCCAUACAAUAUGUCUGUGUAAAAAAUCUGUUUAGACAUACAUACGGGUGUAUGCAUAACUACCAACAUUUCACAUAGACAAAGGACACUUAAAGGGACACUCCAGGCACAAAAACAACUUUAAUCUAAAGUAAGUUGUUAUGGUUCCUGGGAGCACUCUUCCCUCAGGGGGUUAAACAUCCUUAAACGGUUUAACCCUUAAGUUGCCUCCAGCGGCCAUGGCUAUGCUCACUCCUCCAGCAGGCGCCAUCUAGCUUCUGAAAUGUCAUUUUUGGGAAGUGCUGAGUACUGACGGGCAGGAGCGCUGCUGAUUGGCUGUGAGCGUCCACUGAUCUCUCCCAGCCAAUCAGUAGUGGCUCUGCCUGGCAGCGUUUCACUCUUUCUGAAAGUGAAAUUUAAGAAGCUGGAUGCCACUUUGGGUGGGGGUGGAUAUUGCCGCUAGAGGUAACUUGGGGGUUAAAACCUUUUGAGAAUAGUUUAAGCCCCUGAGGGUAGUUAGAUGAAGUUGUUUUGGUGCCUAGAGUGUCCCUUUUAGCCCCUUAAGGAUGGCGGGUGUGCUAUGCCGCCUUUGGGGACCCGGCUCUAAACGCUGGGGGAGGGGGGCAUAGCACAUCCCUGCCGUCCUAUUUAUUUACUCGGUCGCUGGCGUGGGAUCUCACCUGGCAGCCCAGGGAGUCCCCCUCUGUCCGUUUCGGCCCCCCUGGGCCAUGUGAUCGCAAGGUCCUUUAUACAUAAAUACACAUACACUAAGUGUAUUUUUAUAUUAAUAUCAAAAUACAUGUAGACUAUUGAUUUAUAUAUAUAUAUAUAUAUAUAUAUAUAUAUAUAUAUAUAUAUAUAUAUAUAGAUAUAUAUUAGAAAUUAUGUAAAUAAGUUAAAAAAUAAAAUGUGUAAAUUAGUUCUAACUGUAUUUUUAAAUUAAUAUAUAUUUAGAUCAAAAUACAUGUAGAAAGAAAUAUAUCUAUAUACAUAAGUAUAUACGUAUAUAUCACAAUUUAAAAAAUUGUGUGUGUGUGUGUGUGUGUGUGUGUGUGUAUAUAUAUAUAUAUAUAUAUAUAUAUAUAUAUAUAUAUAUAUAUAUAUAUAAUUUUCUCUCUUUACGUAUAUAUUUAUGUAAUAUUUUUACAUAAUUAGGACAUUUUAUUAAUUACAAUUGGUGGGACCUGCCUGACAACCCAGGCCAAAAGUCCAGGGAAUUUAACCCCUUAAGACCAGAGGGCGUACUAUUACGCCCUAUUUUAGGCAGCUCUAAACGCCGCCUGGCGUAAUAGUACGCCCUCCGGUCUUUCCUUACUUACCCAGUCGCCAGCGAUCGCGGUGGGGGGACUCCCAGGGAGCCCCCCCGCGGCAGAUCCUCCUCCUCCGGUCCCCCCUGGCCAUGUGAGGUCCUUGCGAGGACCUCACAAUCACAUGGCCGGGUUAGCUGCCUCCUGCAUUGCCAGCAGGGGGGCUGCCUGCAAUGACAGGUGGUCCCCCUGCUAGCUGGAAAUAAAAAUAAAAUAAAUUAAUAAAGUGUAAAAAAAAAAUAUAUAUAUAUAUAUACACACACACACACAUAUACUAUCUAGGUGUAUUUUACUAUUAAUAUAUAUAUAUAUAUAUAUAUUAAUAUCAAAUUACACGUAGACUGAUACUGAUUAAAUAUAUGUAUAAUUAUUGAUAUAUAUAUAUAUAUAUUAUAAAAAAAUUAAAUAUGUAAAUACGUUAAAAAAUAAAAUUAAAAAAAAUAUAUAGAUGUGUUUAGUUCUAACUGUAUUGUGAUAUUAAUAUAUAUAUAUAUAUAUAUAUAUAUAUCUAUAUAUUUAUAUCAAAAUACACGUAGAACGAAAUAAUAUAUAUAUAUCUAUAUACAUAUAUACGUAUAUAUCACUAUAUACCUACAUUUAAAAAAAUUAUAUAUACAUACAUACAUAAAUAUAUUAAUUCUACAUAUAUAUUUAUGUAAUAUUUUUACAUAAUUAGGUAUCUUAAUUACAAUUAGCGGGACCUGCCUGACAACCCAUGCCAAAAGUAAAGGGAAUUUAAUUUGCUAGGACUAUAUUUAACCCUAUAACUUUCCAAGACACCAUAAAACCUGUACAUGGGUACUGUUCUACUCGGGAGACUUCGCUGAACACGAAUAUUAGUGUUUCAAAACAGUAAAAUGUAUUACAACGAUGAUAUCGCCAGUAAAAGUGACGUUUUUUGCAUUUUUCACGCACAAACAGCACUUACACGGACGAUAUUAUUGCUGCGAUACUUUUUACUGUUUUGAAACACAAAUAUAUGUGUUCAGCGAAGUCCCCCGAGUACAACAGUACCCCUCAUGUACAGGUUUCAUGGUGUUUUCAAAAGUUACAGCGUCAACUAUAAGGCUUGUGUUUCAUUUUUUUCCACAUUAAAAUUCGCCAGAUUGGUUACAUUGCCUUUGAGACCCUAUGGUAGCCCAAGAAUGAAAAUUACCCCUAUGAUGGCAUACCAUUUGCAAUAGUAGACAACCCAAGGUAUUGCAAACGGGGUAUGUCCAGUCUUUUUUAGUAGCCACUUAGUCACAAACACUGGCCAAAAUUGGCAUUUUUUGCAUUUUUCACACACAAGCAAAUACUAACGCUAACUUUGGCCAGUGUUUGUGACCAAAUGGCUACUAAAAAAAACUGGACAUACCCCAUUUGCAAUACCUUGGGUUGUCUACUAUUGCAAAUGGUAUGCCAUUAUGGGUGUAAAUUUCAUUCCCGGGCUACUAUACAGUCUCAAAGGCAACGUAACCAAUCUGGCGAAUUUCAAUUUCAAACGUAACAUGCAAUAUUUGACCCUGUAACUUCCCAAAACACCAUAAAACCUGUACAUAGGGGGUACUGUUUUACACGUGAGACUUUGCUGAAUACAAAUGUGUAUUUUAUUGCAGUAAAAGCAAACAGUAUUAUGACAUUGACAGUUAAAAUGUCAUGUAGAAGUAAAAAUGUUUUAAAAAUUCUUAUUUUCUCCCAUUUUUUUCAUAUUAAAUUGUUUCAUAGCUAAAUAUUUGAUAUUAAAUGAAAGCCCUGUUUCCCCUGAAUAAAAUGAUAUAUAAUAAGGGUGGGUGCAUUUAAUAUGAAAGAGGUGAAUUACUGUUGGACAGACAUGUAGCUCAAAUGCCAGGUUUUGUUUACAUUUUGUUUCGUUCACAACGUGUACAUUUUGCUCAGUCCUUAAGGGGUUAAUUUGCUAGCACUAUAUUUAACCCUGUAACUUUCCAAGACACCAUAAAACCUAUACAUGAGGGGUACUGUUUUACUCGGACGCCUUCGCUAAACACAAAUAUUAGUGUUUCAAAACAGUAAAAUGUAUUGCAACGAUAUCAUCAAGCAAAGUAAAAUUUUUUUGCAUUUUAUACACACAAAUGGCACUUACACAGCCAAUAUUGUUGUGAUACAUUUUACUGUUUUGAAGCACUAGUAUUUGUUGUCGGCGAAGUCUCCGGAGUAUAACAGUAGCAAUCAUGUACAGGUUUUAUGCUGUUUUCAAAAGUCACAGAGUCAAAUGUAAGGCUUGUUUCUUUUUUUUUCACAUUGAAAUUCGCCAGAUUGGUUACGUUGCCUUUGAGACCGUAUGGUAGCCCAGGAAUGAAAAUUACCCCCAUCAUGGCAUACCAUUUGCAAUAGUAGACAACCCGAGGUAUUGCAAAUCGGGUAUGUCCAGUCUUUUUGUAGUAGCCACUUAGUCACAAACACUGGCCAAAAUUGACGUUCAAAUUCGUUUUUUUUGCAUUUUUCACACACAAACAAAUAUUAACACUAACUUUGGCCAGUGUUUGUGACCAAGUGGCUACUAAAAAAGACUGGACAUACCCCAUUUGCAAUACAUUGGGUUGUCUACUUUUACAAAUGGUAUGACAUGAUGGGGUUAAUUUUCAUUCCUGGGCUGCUAUACGGUCUCAAAGGCAACAUAGGCUGAAAAACUGAAACAUGUAACAUACUAUAAUUAACCCUGUAGCUUCUCAAAACACCAUAAAACCUGUACAUAGGGGGUACUGUUUUACACGUGAGACAUCGCUGAAUAAAAAUGUGUUUUAUUGCAGUAAAAGCAAACAGUAUUAUGACAUUCACAGUUAGAAUGUCACUUAGAACUAAAUUUAUUUUAAAAAUUCUUAUUUUAUCCCACUUUUAUAUUUUAUUCAUAUUACAUUAUGUUUCAUACCUAAAUAUUUAAUGUUACAUGAAAGCCCUGUUUCCCCUGCAUAAAAUUAUAUAUAGUAAGUGUGGGUGCACAUAAUAUGAAAGAGGCAAAUUACGCCUGAACAGACAUAUAACGUAAAAUCAAGGUUUUUAGUUUGUAGAACUGAAGGAGUGAUCUAUCUACUUACCUGCUCAUGUGGCAUGAAAUACGUGGGGAAAACUUUCAGACCCUUUAAAUUGGGAAUCAGGGAACAUGUCAAUUCAGUUAGGAGACCUUUAGAGACUCCGAUAUCCCGUCAUUUGAAAAUACAUCAUUCUAAUUCAUCUAAAAAGAUCAGAUUUGUGGGAAUUGAACAUAUCCCACAGACUCGAAGAAAAGGUGACUGGGAGGUAAAGCUGAGACAACGGGAAUCCUACUUGAUUUACAGACUUAAGACCCUCUCACCCGUAGGAUUAAAUGAGGGCUUUUCAUUUGCCGCAUUUUUGUAACUAUUUUUUGAUGUGUGUUAUAUAACAAGGAUUAUCCUACCUCUGUCCGUCUAUAUGGAUAGUAGCAGUAAUUAUAUUAGUUACAUUUUAAUAUUAUCCUGUAUGUAGCUUUCCUAAUAGGCGGCCGCCUAUAGUGAUGACUGCACUAGAUCAAACAAAGGUUCUCUUUACCUUAUUGUAUGUUGAGCAAUUUUACCCAUUUAUUGUCCCUAUUACAUCUACUUCAUAUUACAGACAGGCAUGUAUUUGCAGUUCACUGUAAAGGGUUAUUAUUAACCCAAUAUAAUUUUGAUUUGGGUCUUUUGGCCCACUUAAAUAAUUCCUGUAUAUGUUAACUUUUAGACAGUAGGGACCUACUGUGAUAACAAUAACAGUAUGGGUUAAACACUACAUUACUUAGGUACUGAGUUUCCUUUAUGCCAGCCUUACAUUAUAACUUAACGAUUAAACAUCCCUUAUGGUUGAAGGGACCGGCUCGGUGGGUGGCAGUGUGAUUUCGUCACUGGUUUACGUCACGUUGCCACUCCCCCCUCCUAUGCGCCUGGUCUACCCACGUGUGCCUAUUCCAAUUGGCUAAUUAGACUAUGACGUUUGGUCACGUGAUCGGAUCCGUGACCAAUCGGGAGGCAGCCAGUUCGGUAGUAUACACCCACGUGGAUACACAGCUGACUGAUUACAACGUGACAAGCAAUAUAUAAAUGGCUACAGUACUGGUUCACUGCUCCUGAUGAUGGCAUGCUAAUAUGCCGAAUCGCGCGUCGAGCAAAUUUUAAUUUACUUAUUUUUUUCUUUCUUUACCACUCAUUUGGUAGCACAGGAAUAGGAAUUUCUAUUUAGGUUAACUUAAUGUAUACUAGUUUACUGGACAGGCAGGGAGCGGUAUGUAGGUAGGCACCUGUAUGUAAUAUUACAGUGCUGAGGUAUAUGGACUUUUAUUUGGGUUAAUUUAGGUAGACCUGAAUAGGCAGGGAGAGGUACAUAUGUAGGCUCCUGUGUGUUCUAUCACAGUGCCGAGGUAUACCUUUAUCAAUCACUGUCCUUUCUCUAUAGUGAUUUAGACUUGGGCUUGGGUCUUGGGAGUCUCCAUUUUCCAUCUCCUCCUUUAGGUUAAGUACAUGGGCUCAUCCCCUAAUUAGCCCAAAGUUUUUCUUGUUACUACAUGCUUCUUCCAUUCUCUACACUUUACCUAUGCUACCUAGACUUGUAAUUUUUUUGAUAUAGCCUGGUCUCCCUCUUGUGAGUAGGUUAGCAUUUAGGAUUUGAAUGUGUGUUGAGAAACUACUGCCUCCUCCAAGACCUCCCUUACUUUCUGUCCAUUUUUAAUAUUGCUCCCAUCAUUAGGAUUAAUAAAGGUAGGGCUCCCUUUCCUUAUGAACUAUUCUUUAAUUUAGGACCUUACGGUCUCACUCUUCUUUUUCCUUUGUUUACGUUUUGUUUUGAUCACAACGUGUACAUUUGUCUCAGUCGUUAAGGACACAGCUUCUGAAGCUUGAAGCACUCUGUCAUCCCCUCCCUUAAAGGAACUCUCCAGUGCCAGGAAAACAAUCCGUUUUCCUGGCACUGCAGGUCCCCUCUCCCUCCCACCACCCAUCCCCAGUUGCUGAAGGGGUGAAAACCCCUUCAGUCACGUACCUGAUACCCCGCCGAUGUCUUUGGGGUCGCUGUUGCUCCUCCUCUUCAUUGCGUCGGCGAGACUGAUCCCGCCCACCGGCCAUGGAGACCUAAUGCGCAUGCUUUCCUAUAGGGAAUUGAGCAACGCUGGAGGUCCUCACACAGCAUGAGGACGUCCAGCGACGCUCUAGCACAGGUUUUCUGUGCUAUGGACCAGGAAGUGCCCUCUAGAGGUGGAGUUAACCCUGCAAGGUAAUUAUUGCAGUUUAUAAAAAAACUGCAAUAAUUACACUUGCAAGGUUAAGGGUAGUGGGGUUUGCACCCAGACCACUCCACUGGGCAGAAGUGGUCUGGGUGCCUGGAGUGUCCCUUUAAAGAUGCCAAGAAGGGAUUUAAAAAGGCUCUGUCACCUCAAACUUUUCUUUCUCCUAUUGUUUCCUAUUCUUUCAGAAUCUUUUCUAAUUUUCUUCAUGAAAGUUGCCUGAGAGUGAGGUUUUUAUCAUAACCUGACAAGAAUUUAUAUUCGAGAUCGACCGAUAUUGAUUAUAUUUUUUUAUUUUUUUUUAGAGCCGAUAAUCUGUGAACUUUCAGGCCUAUAGCCGAUAACUUACCAAUAUUCUGGGGCGGGGCUAGGCUGCCAUGCUGAGCGGCCGCAUGGAGAGUGAGCUCCUCGCUUAACUUGAUCUUAUUAGAAGAACCAAAGGCAUUUGCUCAAAGUAUUGCUACAGAAGUAUACCCGCGAUACCAAGGUGCUACCGGGAACACUACCCGUCCACAUGGCUACUGCGAAACUCUGCUCCAGCUUGCUUGAAGUGCAGCCUGGUGUGGGCCCGUCCAGGAGCUGCGGCCAGGCUCCUCGGAGGGACUUCACUGACGGGGCGGUGGCUGAAUCACGUUUUCCCCCUACACCCCCUGGGCCGGUUGGGGUUAUCCCGGUCCCCACUGAAGCUGACUGCGUUUUAACAUGCUGUGAUUACCUCUUACCCCUAGCGGCAACCUCAACCUCACUGCCUCCUCAAGAUGGCAGACGCACCUCGCUCAGCCUUGCAGGGACUAGAAUCUAUAGAAACUCUCCUAAAUCGUCUGGAUGCAAUCUUCCAGAACUUUUGGCAAAAGCUACGAGAACGGCAGAGAACCCAAGCGGCUCAGCCACAAGCAGACGGGCGGGACACCAUUGCACCGGAGAAAGGUGGGAACCCUCAGAACAAGGCAGGACAGCAACAGCACACUUACCUGUUUACUAACCCUCUUGGGUCGAGAGCCUGCAGGGGUGUCGCCUCCAAGCCCCAAACCAAACGGCUGAAGAUACCGGCCCCAAGAUGGGUCCGCCGAAGGUGGAGUGCUUCACCGCAAGAUGGCGAGAGCAGGGCCUCGGCCACCUCACACGCCAUACUCCUGUCCAGACCGGACCCGUGCGGAGCACCAGCGACAUGCCGGAAACGACAAGCAAAUGGAAGAGUUCAGCCAUCAUGGACCCCGCAGCCCAUCGUUACACAAGCUGACUCCCCACAAGCACGAAGUGCAGAGGGAUGGUCCAUGUGGAUCCUGCUGGCCAUACUUGUUUGCAAAUCGACUGUAACUGUCGUCAUGGAAUCGCAUGUUUAUUAUUUAUUUCAUUUUUUUGUAAAUGUAUUUAUUUAUUACCCCCUUCACGCCGUUACGGCGUUCUAUGCCGUCGCGGCUUUAAUGUCGUUGCGGCGGCAUAGAACGCCGUAACUGCUUUCUGCCCCAGAGGACCGGCGGUACUUACACAUGGCCCCCAAUAGCUGGCUAUGGAUCUGCCAGCAGGGGGGCUGUCUGAAAUAGCAGACAGUCCCCCUGCUGGUGGGAAAGUGUAAAAAAAAUAAUAAUAAUUAACAUGUUAUAAAAUGUGUGUGUGUGUGUGUGUGUGUGUAU
rnacentral:lncRNA from 1 species